rnacentral:tRNA from 1 species
GGAGAGGUGCCUGAGUCCGGCUUAAAGGGUCCGCCUCGAAAGCGGAUGUUCUGCCACAAGCGGAACCCUGGGUUCGAAUCCCAGCCUCUCCGCCA